rnacentral:misc_RNA from 1 species
CGCCGCCGCAAUGGGUUCCUCCGGCAACCGUCGUAGUAAAGGGAAGACGGCGUCAAAGUCCGGCAGACGCCGCCGCCGAUCUUCCGACGAUAUUGCAUCAGACUCCGAUUCAAUUUCUCACACCGAGUCGGAAUCCGAAUCCGACUCAUCUCCGCCGAGUAGCAGCCGCCGCCGUUCAAGCAGUAGCAGAAGCAAAAGUCGAGGUCAUAGUAGCAGAUCGAGAAAUCAUGAUUAUGCAGACCAAGAGAGUAGUGACGACGAGCGAAAGAAGAAAAAGAAGAAAAUUACUGAAGAAGAAAUUGCUUUGUAUAUGGCUAAAAAAGCACAGAAGAAGGCAGCGAAAGUAGCGAAG